rnacentral:rRNA from 1 species
UACAGAGGUCCCAAGCGUUGUUCGGAAUUACUGGGCGUAAAGGGCGCGUAGGCGGUACUUCAAGUCAGGCGUGAAAGCCCCGGGCUCAACCUGGGAACGGCGCUUGAGACUGGAGAACUAGAGUUCGGGAGAGGAUGGUGGAAUUCCCAGUGUAGAGGUGAAAUUCGUAGAUAUUGGGAAGAACACCGAUGGCGAAGGCAGCCAUCUGGACCGACACUGACGCUGAGGCGCGAAAGCCAGGGGAGCAAACGGG